UGACAUUCUGCCACUGGUCAGAUGCUACAUUUGACUGUGCCAGCGUCAUCUCUCGUGCAGAGAAGAAGUUGUGUAUAAUUAUGGUGCAGAACCAUAUCCAUGGGGGCAAAAGGACAGGUUUGAUUUAUACACUGAUGUUGGAGCUUGGGAAAAGCCACUUGGCUACAUUACCCAGCUCAGGCAGUCUGCAAUAUUCAAAGAAGUGAGGACUUUGAGUUCUUGAUGACUGCAGUGUCCAUGACUAAGAUGUUGAACCAGAUGGCCUAGAUCCAGAACUGACUACAUGGACCAAGG